rnacentral:rRNA from 1 species
GACGAACGCUGGCGGCGUGCUUAACACAUGCAAGUCGUACGGUAAGGCCCUUUCGGGGGUACACGAGUGGCGAACGGGUGAGUAACACGUGAGUAACCUUCCCACAACUUUGGGAUAACGCUAGGAAACUGGUGCUAAUACUGGAUAUGUGCUCCUGCUGCAUGGUGGGGGUUGGAAAGCUCCGGCGGUUGUGGAUGGACUCGCGGCCUAUCAGCUUGUUGGUGGGGUAGUGGCCUACCAAGGCGGCGACGGAUAGCCGGCCUGAGAGGGUGACCGGCCACAUGGGGACUAAGAGAGGGCCCAGAAGCGAACGGGAGGCAACGGGGGGAAAUAUUGCACAAUGGGGGCGAGCGUGAGACGGAGACGCCGGGUGCGGGAUGCCGGCUUUCGGGUUGAAAACAGCUUUCAGCAGGGAGAAAGAUUUUUGGAAGGGAACCUGCAGAAGAGGCACGGGCAACCAAGGU